rnacentral:rRNA from 1 species
UGGGGUGACUGCGUACCUUUUGUAUAAUGGGUCAGCGACUUAUAUUCUGUAGCAAGGUUAACCGUAUAGGGGAGCCGUAGGGAAACCGAGUCUUAACUGGGCGAAUGAGUUGCAGGGUAUAGACCCGAAACCCGGUGAUCUAUCCAUGGGCAGGUUGAAGGUUGGGUAACACUAACUGGAGGACCGAACCGACUAAUGUUGAAAAAUUAGCGGAUGACUUGUGGAUGGGGGUGAAAGGCCAAUCAAACCGGGAGAUAGCUGGUUCUCCCCGAAAGCUAUUUAGGUAGCGCCUCGUGAAUUCAUCUUCGGGGGUAGAGCACUGUUUCGACUAGGGGGUCAUCCCGACUUACCAACUCGAUGCAAACUGCGAAUACCGAAGAAUGUUAUCACGGGAGACACACGGCGGGUGCUAACGUCCGUCGUGAAGAGGGAAACAACCCAGACCGCCAGCUAAGGUCCCAAAGUCAUGGUUAAGUGGGAAACGAAGUGGGAAGGCUCAGACAGCCAGGAUGUUGGCUUAGAAGCAGCCAUCAUUUAAAGAAAGCGUAAUAGCUCACUGGUCGAGUCGGCCCGCGCGGAAGAUGUAACGGGGCUAAACCAUGCACCGAAGCUGCGGCAGCGACACUAUGUGUUGUUGGGUAGGGGAGCGUUCUGUAAGCCUGCGAAGGUGUACUGUGAGGUAUGCUGGAGGUAUCAGAAGUGCGAAUGCUGACAUAAGUAACGAUAAUGCGGGUGAAAAACCCGCACGCCGGAAGACCAAGGGUUCCUGUCCAACGUUAAUCGGGGCAGGGUGAGUCGACCCCUAAGGCGAGGCUGAAAAGCGUAGUCGAUGGGAAACGGGUUAAUAUUCCCGUACUGGUGGUAACUGCGAUGGGGGAACGGAGAAGGCUAGGUUGUCCGGGCGACGGUCGUCCCGGUUCAAGCAUGUAGGCAGAGUGAUUAGGCAAAUCCGGUCACUUAAUGCUGAGGUGUGAUGACGAGCCACUAAGGUGGUGAAGCAAUUGAUGCCCUGCUUCCAGGAAAAGCCUCUAAGCUUCAGGUUACCAACAAUCGUACCCCAAACCGACACAGGUGGUCAGGUAGAGAAUACUCAGGCGCUUGAGAGAACUCGGGUGAAGGAACUAGGCAAAAUGGUGCCGUAACUUCGGGAGAAGGCACGCUGGCGGUAAGUGAAGUCCCUUGCGGACGGAGCCGAAGCCAGUCGAAGAUACCAGCUGGCUGCAACUGUUUAUUAAAAACACAGCACUGUGCAAACACGAAAGUGGACGUAUACGGUGUGACGCCUGCCCGGUGCUGGAAGGUUAAUUGAUGGGGUUAUCCUUAGGGAGAAGCUCUUGAUCGAAGCCCCAGUAAACGGCGGCCGUAACUAUAACGGUCCUAAGGUAGCGAAAUUCCUUGUCGGGUAAGUUCCGACCUGCACGAAUGGCGUAAUGAUGGCCAGGCUGUCUCCACCCGAGACUCAGUGAAAUUGAACUCGCUGUGAAGAUGCAGUGUACCCGCGGCAAGACGGAAAGACCCCGUGAACCUUUACUAUAGCUUGACACUGAACAUUGAGCCUUGAUGUGUAGGAUAGGUGGGAGACUU